rnacentral:tRNA from 1 species
GCUGGUGUAGCUCAAUGUGGCAGAGCAAUUGCCUUGUAAGCGAUGAGUUGCAGGUUCAACUCCUGUCACCAGCC